rnacentral:tRNA from 1 species
ACCUGGCUGGCUCAGUCGGUAGAGCGUGUGACUUUUGAUCUCGAAGUUAUAAAUUUGAGCCCUGUGUUGGGUG